CCUGCAAAAAUCUAACAUACAGGUCUGCUAACAGUCCCACAAUGCAGUGCAGCACAAUUUAUGCAACAAUUAAGGAAUCGUCCAUCUUGUGCAGACUCCAGAAGAAGAAGAAGAAGAAGAGUGUGGCUAAGCGUGGACAGCACGGAGUCGGCCACAGCAGAAACCCUCGGCCUCGUGAACGCGACAGACAGACGGACCUGGAACAUGGAGGACAUAAUGUCCAGCCGCCUGUGGAAUCAGCUGGAAGGAGCCGACUUCGUUACUGAAGGUGGUGGUUUGUCCUGCAGGGGGGGGGCGAACCAGUGGUCGUGCACGCUACAGAGCAAAGUGCACUUUUACUCUGUCAGAUGAAAAGGGACAGGUGUGUUAAAACAACAGGAAGUUAGUUACUGCAGUCUGGAUAAUUUGGCCGCUCACCAGCACAGCAGUCAGCAGUCAGAGCUGCAUCAGUAGCUGUGACACACGAUUGCCACAUUUUGCGUCAGAACUCUCUCUCUCUCUCCUCUGAGUCAUAACUCAGUCAAAUCUGAACACACAGACAUGAUACGACUGUCUGGAUCCAGUGUGACUUUCUGAAGAUAUGAUAGCGUAUCUCAGGAAACGUGUCUGGGAUAAAUUUCCACACGUACGCUGAGAAAUAAUUUAGAGAAAAGACGCAUUUCCUUCAAUAUCACAGUGAUCCAGUGAUCUGUGUUUGUACGUCCAUGCAAACAGCUCAUCAGAACGUAGUCGGCUUUAAGGUUCAGGUUCAUAUGGAAAUAAAUGGCUGUAAUAACUGUAA